rnacentral:lncRNA from 1 species
UUUUGGUUGUCAUACGAGAGGGGACUACCACCAGCAUCUAGUGACUGGAGACCAGGGAUGCCACUGGACAUCUGGUGAAGCACAGGACAAUCCCCCACAACAAAGAAUUAUUCAACCUAAAAGGUCAGCAUCAAGAACACAAGAAGACAGCCACCAUCUACAAGCCAGGAAGGGAGCUCUCACCGGGGAACAAAAUCAGUUGGCACCUUGAUCUUGGACAUUGCUGCCUCCAGAAUUGAUGUUAAUAGUGAGCCUUCCGGGUACAAAAGCAAGAGGGAACUCCUUCAGUACAUACCCAUCUUUUGAGGAUCCUCACCCAGCUGCUACCCCCAGUGAACCCUCCAGCUGUGUAGUCAUUUGGCAGGGUGCACUGUUAUGCAUAACUUAAAGCUAUGUGUGUGUGACUCUAAAACAACUGGUGAAUACAGAUUGUUCACAUGAAAACCCCCAAAUGAUCUGCAAGUGAAAAAAAAAAUGUAAGCAAUGAUUUGAUGACCAUG